ensembl:lncRNA
AGAGAGAGCUGGAGAGGAGGACAGGAAGGCAGGCCAGGGCCAGGCCUCUGUGUAAGGAGGCAAAGGAGAGAGAGCCUUAGCAUGUUACACAAAGCAUCCUACACCCCCGGAAGGGAUGACAUCAUAGAGGCUUUAUCACUCUUGCUGUCAUGUGAAGAAUGGACCCUGGGGACAGAGGAGAGGAUGUUAAGAGUGGAAGCAGAAAGACAAGUUGGGAGGCUGUGGCCAUGAAUUACAGAGGAGAUAAUGUUACCUUGGACUAGGAACGCUGCCUCCACGUCCUUGGGAAUUCCCCCAGAACAGGGAGUUUGCAAUGAACUUGAUGUCGUGCUGUUUAUUUCUAAGGCUGCACAUGGAAUAUUUGUGGAACUUCCUUUGCAAG